rnacentral:misc_RNA from 1 species
GAUGAAGAACGUAGCGAAAUGCGAUACGUAAUGUGAAUUGCAGAAUUCAGUGAAUCAUCGAAUCUUUGAACGCAUAUUGCGCUCUCUGGUAUUCCGGAGAGCAUGCUUGUUUGAGUAUCAGUAAACACCUCAACUUCCAUAUCUUUUUUGAAAUGGGAGUUGGACUUGAGUGAUCCCAACGCUUUUCCUCACCGAAAAGUGGCGGGUUACUUGAAAUGCAGGUGCAGCUGGACUUUUCUCUGAGCUAUAAGCAUAUCUAUUUAGUCUGCCUAAAAAACAGAUUAUUACCUUUGCUGCAGCUAACAUAAAGGAGAUUAGUUCUUGUGAUGACUGAUGCAGGAUUCACAAAGACGGCUUCGGACGACUUUGUAAACUCGAUCUCAAAUCAAGUAAGACUACCCGCUGAACUUAAGCAUAUCAAUAAGCGGAGGA